rnacentral:rRNA from 1 species
AGGCCAGUGGCAGUGCCUCUCUUCGACUCGAAAACUUAUGUGGGCAGUGAUGAAAACCUUCCAAAAGAAUAGAAAACAAAAGAAUAUGCCACUUUAGUAGCAACAGAUGGAGGGAUAUUAGAAGUAAGAAGGAUUGAACUAAGUGUACCUCUUACCAUAUUAAAGCUAGGUAGUCAAAUUACACAACAACUUACCAUCCGGAUAACUUAGUGUACUUCUACGCUAACUAUAAUUAAUAUGUAAUUCAAAAAACACAGAGUUUUGGAACUGAGAUGAUCGACACUAUGCAUCGGCUAACUCUAUGCCAGCAGCCGCGGUAAUACAGAGGAUGCAAGCGUUAUUCGGAAUGAUUGGGCGUAAAGCGUCUAUAGGUAGGUGGCUUUUUAAGUCCGCCAUCGAAUACCAGGGCUCAACCYUGGACAGAGGGUGGAAACUACCAAGCUAGAGUAUGGUAGGGGCAGAGGGAAUUUUCUGUGGAGCGAUGAAAUGCGUGGAGAUCAAAAAGAACACCAACGGCGAAAGCACUCUGCUGGGCUGACACUGACACUGAGAGACGAAAGCUAGGGGAGUGAAUGGGAUUAGAUACCCCAGUAGUCCUAGCCGUAAACGAUGGAUACUAGGCACUGUGUCUAUCGACCAGUGCAGUGCUGUAGCUAACACGUUAAGUAUCCCGCCUGGGGAGUACGUUCGCAAGAAUGAAACUCAAAGGAAUUGAUGGGCUCCCGCACAAGCGGUGGAGCAUGUGGUUUAAUUCGAUGCAAAGCGAAGAACCUUACCAGUUCUUAACAUGCCACGAACCCUCUUGAAAGAAAGGGAUGCCUUCAAGAAURCGCACACACGUGGUGCAUGGCUAUCAUCAGCUCAUGCCAUAAGGUGUUAGGUUAAGUCCGACAACAAGCGCAACUCUCAUGUUUAGUUGCAUCGUUGAGUUUGGAACCCUCAAUAGAUUGCCACUGAUAAGCCGGAGAAAGGUGAGGAUGAUGUAGUGAAUUGCUGAUAGUCAAACUCAAACCAUAGAAGCAAAACGUUCGAAAGGAUACCUAAUAUGGCAUUUCUAUAGUAAAUACUAUAAAAAUAGAUCCUGAUGUGCAAAUUUUUUGAUAGUGACUGCCACAUAACUUCUUCACUCACAAUAAUUAUUAUCUCAUUGAGAAAAGACAUAGUUUUGGAACUGAGAAGUUGGAUUCCACGAAUUAGCUGAUUGUCUAGCACUACAAUGAUUUGGUUCUUUAGGUUCUCUGCAUCACUA